UCACAACAUAGAAAUGAUGUAAUGCAGUCGCUCACUUUACGAUCUCAAUGUCGUUUUCUUUUUAGAUUUCAAAGUUAAAUAGAACAGUUUUAACAGAAACAUUUGUACGGUUAUACAAAGGGAAACCUCUUCAUAAUUCAUAAUUCAUUGAUGACAGAGGAGCCACAUGUGGUUUAUCAGUGGUGCCAUCUUCUGGCCAAUCUCAGUCAUGUUAUUUGGUAUAAAACUGUCACUCUGAUUACACAAAGCCUUUCAUGUUGAGAUCAGUGUCUAACCCGAGGAACCCUUCACUUUUAACCUGGCAUGCAGCGCUGCUCAGGUAUCAGAUAUCUGCACUCACUACCUCUGGCUUUAGUUUUCACUCGUGUACCAUCAGCCACUCCCCCAAAAAAGAAUCUCCCGGGUGCAGGAGAGUGUUGAGGUCAGAGAUGCUGAAGGCGUGUGUGCGUGCACGUGUAUAUACAGAGAGCCGUGGGGUCAGGCGUGUAAGACGAGAGCUUUGCAGCGAUGACAGUGUGAUGGUUACGACUCUCCUGUGUGAUGGACGUGAUGUACAGCCUUCCCUGGUGCUGACCUCUGUCCUGUCCUGUUUUCCAUCGAGCACACCCUGGAUCGACUUCACUGCUGCUUCCGUUCAUCUCCUGUCCUGCCCAGAACUCACUCUGGGUCACUGAUGCUCCUCCCGGGUAUCUGGACUCAUGCUGGCCUGCUUCCCUCUCCACAGCCUUGCCUAUAACUUAUUGUUCCGCUGCUCCUGCCUCAGGCUCCGCUGCUGCGUCCGCUCCCUAAAACCAGAACCAGAUAAGUUGAUGAAUUAGUUGUGCACUUUGGUUCUCGGUCCCAUAAAAAGAGGGGUUGUUAUAGAAAGUGGGAAGAAAUCCUUACGUGUGUUAUAUGUAAGAAAGUAAUAAUAUUAAGUCAGAGAUUGUGAAAACAUGGCUUUAAUGAUAGUGGUGAUGAACCAGAGCAGUACCUGUUCAAAUGUGAGUUUUAGGAGGUGGGAGUGGCUCUUUUCACGAUAAAUCUCUUGCAUUUCUAACAAUAUCUCUUGUAUUUUUUUAUCCAAACACCACCAAAGUUGAUGCUGCACACAUUGGUGUCCUUAAUAAGUUUUAAACCUGUCAAGUGAGCCAAAACAGUCAGAUAGUCAGAUGCUUGAACUUCAACACUGGGAUGCCAACAGGCUUAGUCUGCAAACACACCAGGCUACAGCUAUGUGUCGGAAAGGCUGAACAUUACCAAUUAUAGCCAAAACUAAAGAGCCUCACUACCUCUCUCAAAAACAUCUCCACUGCAGUCAAGAUAGUGUGUUUUAAUGGCUGAAAGAGAGGCUGUUAAAGUCAGCCACAGUUAGCUAAUACACUCUCUCUCUAACAUACACCAUGUUGGUGGAUUUAAUUUAAUGUAUAUAAUGUUUUUACAACCCAAUAUUUUCACUUUCUGUCACUUUCUGAGUGUUCAUUCUCUGUUGCUGCUCACAGCAGACACACUUUCAGCUUCAGUCUCUGAGAUGUAAAUAUUAAUAGAAAAGGUACGGAACAUAGCACAUUACAGAUAGCGGUGAGAUUAUAUAAGUGUAAGUGCAUGACAGCAGAGUACGCCAGGUAUAAGUGCAGCUCCUUGUUUCUGUGUUAUGGAAACAUGGGGAACCAAAAACCUAUGUUUAUAACUGUGACUGCUUUUAACUGCUCACAUGUACGUAAACAUUACAUAUCUCCAUCCCCUGUAAGUUUAUUUCUUUAUCAGAUAGAUGUGUAAUUAUUAUACAAUCUUUAUAGUGACAACACAACCGUAUACAUUUUCAUUUAACCCGACAUGAGAAUGAAAAGGUUGUUGAUAAUUUGAUAUCACAAGUCUUGAGAUGAGAUUCACCCUGUCUUUUAUUGUAAAUUUUAUUGUAAAUUUCGUAAGCACUCACACUGCGUUUGGGUGGAAACAAAUAAUAAAUCCCCAAAAAUGUAUCGAUGAUUUAAUAAAGUGGACAAUAUUCAACAUGAGCAGUAAAUUAUACUUUCAGAAAGGUAUGACCCAACUCUGGCUUUCUCAGUACAAACCCCUGGUGUGUGUCUGUUCACAGCUCAGAUCUUCCGUUUACUGGUCCCGGCUGGUGUUUCCUCAGCGGCAUCAUUUAAAAGCAGGAAGGAUGGAGGCCUUCCUCCACUUUUGGGACCUUCUUUUCUCUCUGUUCCUGGCGUCUUUGUACUCCUGCUCUAAAUCACGGCAGUGGAACCUGCAGGGGGCAGAGGGGAACAUAAAGUAUGCAACUCUGACAUGCAUGAAAGACUGUGACAGUGCUCCUCAGAGCAGCAGGGCUUUUUAGGAGCUGAGGAAGGACAGAUGCAAAUGAGAUGAAAGAUGGAUGGAUACCCUGAACUAAUGUCCGCCCCCUCUGAGACGCACACGUGCAGGGAGCCUGUUUACUCGUCUUCCUUUUAAAUAAUCCCCUAACUAUAUAUAUCUAGAGUUUCACCAAAGAUAUAUGACACUUUAAGGUCAGAAAGGUUCAUGUAAUUAUUUCAAAUUUGAAUGGAUAGUGUUUGUUUUCAAAAGCCAAACUACAAUUCAAACAUACAGCAAAUGUUAUUAUAGAUAAUGUAUCUGAAAUAAUCUGAAUAUUUGUGAGAAGCCUCCUCAUCUGUUUCCCCCUGGUGCGCGAGCGAAACAGUGAAAGUUAUAAGAAAAUGCUGUUUGCCACAGGUCUGGUUUGAAUUACCCCACCACCACUACCUCUUCCUUGAAUUCCUUGAGUGUUAUCAUGACUGCCUCACUGCUUUUUGUUUUUAAAGGUUGAUGAGUGCAUUUUCACUUGCUGCUUCCUUUCAGCAGAUACUUAAAAGUCUCAGCGAAGACCAGGCAAUCAGUUAGGAAAGGAGCUGUGUGUAUGUGUGUUCUUGUAUGGGUCCCUUUGUGAGGACCAAA